rnacentral:rRNA from 1 species
UACGUAGGGGGCGAGCGUUGUCCGGAUUUAUUGGGCGUAAAGAGCGUGUAGGCGGCCAGGUAGGUCUGCUGUGAAAACUCGAGGCUCAACCUCGAGACGUCGGCGGAAACCAUCUGGCUAGAGUCCGGAAGAGGAGAGUGGAAUUCCUGGUGUAGCGGUGAAAUGCGCAGAUAUCGUAAGGAAGACCAGUGGCGAAGGCGAGUCUCUGGACAGUUACCGACGCUGAGGCACGAAGGUCAGGGGAGCAAACGGG